AUUGAACGCUGGCGGCAGGCCUAACACCUGCCAGUCGAGCGAGCGGCGGACGGGUGAGUAAUGUAGGGGGAAUGCCCGAUAGCGGGUGAUAACUACUGGAAACGGUAGCUAUUACCGCAUACUAUCGGAUAACCGCUAUGGGAUUAGCUAGUAGUUGAGGUAAUGGCUAACCUAGGCGACGAUCCCUAGCUGGUCUGAGAGGAUGAUCAGCCACACUGGGACUGAGACCAGGCCCAGACUCCUACGGAGGCAGCAGUGGGGAAUAUUGCACAAUGGGCGCAAGCCUGAUGCAGCCAUGCCGCGUGUAUGAAGAAGGCCCUAGGGUUGUAAAGUACUUUCAGUCGGGAGGCGUUACCGACAGAAGAAGCACCGGCUAACUCCGUGCCAGCAGCCGCGGUAAUUC
rnacentral:rRNA from 1 species